UUGAGGCGGCGUACCAUCCCAUAUGUGAAAGUAUAAUGGAGCAACCAUUCAGAAAGAGAGGCAACUUGGGAGCUUGAGGAUGAAAUGCGUGCGAGGCAUCCGCAAUUCUUCGAAGUCUCAGGUAUGUAAAUUUCGAGGACGAAAUUUUAUUUAAGGGGGGGAGAAUGUGAGGCCCAAGCCGAAGGAGAAGCCGGAAUCCUCGGCUGCACCUUCUC
rnacentral:lncRNA from 1 species